AUUGAACGCUGGCGGCAGGCCUAACACAUGCAAGUCGAGCGGAUGAAGGGAGCUUGCUCCUGGAUUCAGCGGCGGACGGGUGAGUAAUGCCUAGGAAUCUGCCCGGCAGUGGGGGAUAACGUCCGGAAACGGGCGCUAAUACCGCAUACGUCCUGAGGGAGAAAGUGGGGGAUCUUCGGACCUCACGCUAUCAGAUGAGCCUAGGUCGGAUUAGCUAGUUGGUGGGGUAAAGGCCUACCAAGGCGACGAUCCGUAACUGGUCUGAGAGGAUGAUCAGUCACACUGGAACUGAGACACGGUCCAGACUCCUACGGGAGGCAGCAGUGGGGAAUAUUGGACAAUGGGCGAAAGCCUGAUCCAGCCAUGCCGCGUGUGUGAAGAAGGUCUUCGGAUUGUAAAGCACUUUAAGUUGGGAGGAAGGGCAGUAAGUUAAUACCUUGCUGUUUUGACGUUACCAACAGAAUAAGCACCGGCUAACUUCGUG
rnacentral:rRNA from 1 species